rnacentral:rRNA from 1 species
AUGGGCACGCCGGAGACCUCGCGGGAGCCGUGCCCGGACCGCAUCCUCGACGACGUGGGCGGCGCGUUCGGGAUGGGGGCGGUGGGCGGCUCCGUCUUCCAUUUCCUCAAGGGCACCUACAACUCGCCCAACGGCGAGCGCCUGCUGGGCGGGGCCCAGCAGGUGCGCCUCAACGCGCCGCGCGUCGGCGGGAGCUUCGCCGUCUGGGGCGGCCUCUUCUCCGCCUUCGACUGCACCAUGGUCUUCGUGCGCCAGAAGGAGGACCCCUGGAACUCCAUCAUCGCCGGCGCCGCCACGGGUGGCUUCCUCUCCAUGCGCCAGGGCCCCGGCGCCGCCGGCCGCUCCGCGCUCAUGGGCGGCUGCCUCCUCGCGCUCAUCGAGGGCGCCGGCCUCAUGCUCAACCGCGUCCUCGCCGCGCCGCAGAACCUCCCCCCGCUCCCCACCGACGACCCCAACCUGGCCGCCGCGAUGGCGGGGGGAGGCGUCGGCGGCUUCCCAGGCAUGCCCCAGCCACCCGUGCCCCCUGUGGAGGUCGGGAGCUCCGGCGGCGGGGGUAGUUGGUUCGGCGGCCUCUUCGGCAAGAAGGAGGAGGAGAAGAAGCCCAGCGGCAGCGGCGGCAAGUCGGAGAUAUUAGAGAGCUUUGAUACGCCCAGCCCUCCGAUACCUUCGUUCGACUACAAGUGA